rnacentral:lncRNA from 1 species
GUUGCAAAAUUGGACCAAAUCAUUUUUGUAAAAUACUAGGCCAUAUUUAAUGCACAAUUGACCAAAUGGUUGGGUGUAAAAAGUUUUGAUCCACCUCUGGUGAAAAAGACAAAUUCCCGCCGAUUCAGUUGGAAGCGGGUCAAAUUUGAACUGUAGCUGCCUCGUAGUUUGCUCUUUAUUUUUUCCAAAAAUCAUUUCUAGGUACAUAAGUAUCUUUUUAAUCAGAGAAACACCAACAAAAUUCCAAGAUUCAACCACUAGCUAGGAACGGUCAUUCCCGCCGUUUUGACCGCAUUUUGAAACGGGCAUAAAAAAUUCAAAAAAAUUCAAAAAAUUGGGAAACCUUCGCAUUGUGUCAUCAUAUGUGGCCAAGUUCCUAGGAAAAAUAACAAACUUGUAAUACGGCAAUUAUUUUAAAAAAGUGUUCUCAGAAACGAGCUAUCAUGUGUGGAGAUCAAGGGCUUUCAAGCGAAAUGAUCAAUCUUAUGGCCACAUUCAUGGCAUAGUUUGUUCAAAUGAUCUCAUAUUGUGCACAAGGGUGCAUAUUGGAAUGGCAAACAAUGUUGCCUAAGGAAGUUUUCAUUUUCGUUGGACGAAAAAACCAUUUUCCAUUUUUUGAGUGCCCGAAAGGAGGUUUUUUUGUGAAGGAACUACCAAAUAAUUGUUGCAAAAUUGGACCAAAUCAUUUUUCUAAAAUACUAGGCCAUAUUUAAUGCACAAUUGACAAAAUGGUUGGGUGUAAAAAGUUUUUAUCCACCUCUGGUGAAAAAGACAAUUUCCCGCCGAUUCAGUUGGAAGCGGGUCAAAUUUGAACUGUAGCUGCCUCGUAGUUUGCUCUUUAUUUUUUCCAAAAAUCAUUUCUAGGUACAUAAGUAUCUUUUUAAUCAGAUAAACACCAACAAAAUUCCAAGAUUCAACCACUAGCUAGGAAGGGUCAUUCCCACCAUUUUGACCGCAUUUUGAAACGGGCAUAAAAAAUUCAAAACAAAUAAAAAAUUGGGAAACCUUCGCAUUGUGUCAUCAUAUGUGGCCAAGUUUCUAGGAAAAAUAACAAACUUGUAAUACGGCAAUUAUUUUAAAAAAAGUGUUCUCAGAAAUGAGCUAUCAUGUGUGGAGAUCAAUGGCUUUCAAGCCAAAUGAUCAAUCUUAUGGUCACAUUCAUGGCAUAGUUUGUUCAAAUGAUCUCAUAUUGUGCACAAGGGUGCAUAUUGGAAUGGAAAACAAUGUUGCCUAAGGAAGUUUUCAUUUUUGUUGGACGAAAAAACCAUUUUCCAUUUUUCGAGUGCCCGAAAGGAGGUUUUUUUGUGAAGGAACUACCAAAUAAUUGUUGCAAAAUUGGACCAAAUCAUUUUUCUAAAAUACUAGGCCAUAUUUAAUGCACAAUUUACAAAAUGGUUGGGUGUAAAAAGUUUUGAUCCACCUCUGGUGAAAAAGACAAAUUCCUGCCGAUUCAGUUGGAAGCGGGUCAAAUUUGAACUGUAGCUGCCUCGUAGUUUGCUCUUUAUUUUUUCCAAAAAUCAUUUCUAGGUACAUAAGUAUCUUUUUAAUCAGAG